UCCUUGGUGGCUCAGAUGGUAAAGAAUCUGCCUGCAAUGCAGGAGACCUGGGUUUGAUCCCCGAGUCAAGGAG
rnacentral:tRNA from 1 species